rnacentral:tmRNA from 1 species
GGGGGUGUAACGGUUUCGACGGGGGCACUGAACGAAGAGACUGCGUGUCGCGGAUCCCAGGUCUCCGCGUCAAAACGGCCCGGGAAAACACAGCUGCCAACGAUAACAGCUACGGCCGCAUGGCCCUCGUCGCCUAAGAACCGACGACAUGUGCAGGUGAGGCGCUCGAUUAGCCUGCACAUGUGAUCACACGAGCUGGUCGCGACCACCGCCCCGGGGUCGCGACGAGAAACAGGGGCUGGGCGAAGGGAUCGCGUGCCGAUGGGCGUGCCCCGAGCCGAGAUCAAAUUCAUCGGCCACACACGUGAAGAGGUCCUCCGCGACGGCUUUCGGACCCGGGUUCGACUCCCGGCGCCUCCACUG